ACAGAACUAGAAAUGCCUGUCUCAAGCUUCAUGUCACUCACCAGGGCCAUGAUGAUCUGGACGAGACUGCCAAAUAGAGGCAAAGGAAGUCCUGAAGAGCCGGAGUGUGUGUGUGAAGGGUUUUGUUCCAGCCCAGCUCUAACACCUGACUUAAAUAAUCAACCUGCCGAAUUACGGCAAUAGGAUAUGAUUUGUAUUAAGGACAAGCUUAUACACACUCAUCCCAAGUCUCCAAUGGUCCCAGUACUGGUUGAUGUACAGGCCUAAGUGACCACACACACUCAAAUGGACCUACAGCUGGGGGCACAUGAUGACCAUGAUUUGAACACUGCAACUGAGACGGAAUGACGUCCAGGGACACGCUGACACCCCGAGUAUGACUGGACAUGGGCCGGAUAUUUGUGACGACCUAAAAGGGGUGCAGAAGCACACCAAUUUAUUUUUAUUCCAUGGCCAACCAUCUAGGGAUGAUACCACGACGGCCUUAAAAUAACUUCACUGGACUUUAUGCAAACUGAAAACCACAUAUCCUGAGGCCGCAUUUAUUG